CUAAAAAUUUUUAGAUAAAUUUACCCGAAAUAAAGAGAGCUAAUUAGAAAAUGGAUUUGUGUUGCAAAACAUUGUUUUUAUUUUUAAUUAGGUGUGAAAGGCUAGCCAAUUUUUAUGAUAUCUGGAUUGAGCUAUAAUGUAUAUAGUACAGACAUUGUGUUGAGUAAGCCCCUGUUAAGGGGGGCUUAUAAAAGAAAUCUUCAUAACAUUAUUUGUUCCGAAUAAUUUGCUAUAACUUUAUUUUGAUAGUUAAUGCUUUUGUUUUGCUCCUUUUUACUUAGCCCUUAAAAAUUUUAAUAAAAAAUUUUUUAAAUAAUGUUAAAAUAAGUAUUUUAAUUUAGCUCUUACUAAGGAACUCGGCAAAAAUUUACUCAACUGUUUAUCAAAAACAUAGUUUUAUGAGGCUAUAUAAAAUGAAACCUGCCCAAUGACAUUUCAAUGGCCGCAGUACUUUAACUGUGCUAAGGUAGCAUAAUAAUUUGGCUUUUAAUUGAAGUCUGGUAUGAAAGGAUUAAUGGGUAAAACCUGUCUUGUUCGAUUUUUAAAAAAUUACUUAAAAGGUGAAAAUUCCUUUAAUAAACCAAUAGACGAGAAGACCCUAGGAGUUUUUGUUUUGUUGGGGCGACAUUCAAGUAAGUUAACCUUUAUAGCUAUUAAAACGACUAUAUUAAUAAUAAUUAAACUACCCUAGGGAUAACAGCAUAAUUUUUUAAAAGAUUGUGACCUCGAUGUUGG
rnacentral:rRNA from 1 species